UUUGUUUACUCCUUUGUUUUGGUUUAUAUUUUUGCUCAAGCCACUUUCCUUGGGAUUCUACCACCUGCACACAGGAUAUUCUAAGGUUUUUGGUAUUAGAGAUGGUGUGAAACAGUCCCAGUACAGGUCUAAGCAAUCACAUGGAAUUCCAGGUGGAAUCCAAGAACCAUCUCAGGUGACCUCUCAGGCUGACUUUCCCAGCUAGGUUAUCACUACUCACUUGUGACGAUGACACUGCUUCUGGCCCUCUGACUGAAGGCGGAGCUCUGCGGUUGCUCAGCUGGUCCUGCUGUGAGAGCUGGCAGACUGUGGGCAGACGGUGGAGACUGGGGCAGGUGCACGGGGGCUCUGCCCACAGUCUGCUGAUUAGCUACUGCACAUGCUGCCUGACAACUGUGUGUGCGCCUGUGUGUCUGUGCUGGUGUACUGUCCUGCUUUUCAGGGGCAGAAGUUGUGGUUCCAUGGUAAUAUCCAAUCACAGCUCCCUUACUUCUCAUUAAGGCAUUGAGGGGGCAUAUUUCUCUUCUUAUUAUGUAACAGAAAAAGCAAGCAAGCUUGAUUUCUAAACCAAAAUAGGCUUUCGAAUGGGGAUUUUUAGAUGUUAUACACACUCUUGAUUUUUAAGAAGGGGAAUGCCUUACUUAAGGACAUUUUACAAAGGUCACGAGCCUGUUAAUGACAUCUGCUUUCUUCAAGAAGAAAAUUCCAUGGUCUGUGCUGGUUUUGAAGUAAUUCAGGUCCUGAGAGGUGUUUCCCCAUAGUUCCUCCAGGAUAGGAACCUGAC